GACGAACGCUGGCGGCGUGCCUAAUACAUGCAAGUCGAGCGGACUGACUGGGAGCUUGCUCUUGUUCGGUCAGCGGCGGACGGGUGAGUAACCCGUGGGCAACCUGCCCGCAAGACCGGGAUAACUCCGGGAAACCGGAGCUAUUACCGGAUAACACCGAAGACCGCAUGGUCUUUGGUUGAAAGGCGGCUCGAGCUGCUACUUGCGGAUGCGCCCGCGGCGCAUUAGCUAGGUGGUGAGGUAACGGCUCACCAAGGCGACGAUGCGUAGCCGGCCUGAGAGGGUGAACGGCCACACUGGGACUGAGACACGGCCCAGACUCCUACGGGAGGCAGCAGUAGGGAAUCUUCCGCAAUGGGCGAAAGCCUGACGGAGCGACGCCGCGGGAGCGAAGAAGGUCUUCGGGUCGUAAAGCUCUGUUGUGAGGGAAGAAGGAGUGCCGUUGGAAGAAGGCGGCGCGGUGACGGUACCUCACGAGGAAGCCCCGGCUAACUACGUG
rnacentral:rRNA from 1 species